UAGUCGGAACUUUUGCCGGUGACAACAAACUGCCGAGAGGUUAUUUUCUAACUCGGACAGGAUUAAAACAGAACAAGAAAGGGUCAACAACUUUAUCAAUACUGGCAAUACAGCCGGUGGUGGACUUUAUUGAUGCUCUGGAGCAGUUUUUUUUCGAAAAGAAAAGGGCAAAAAGAAGACAGUCACAUAAGCUGGUCUUUUGUAGACUCUGAAGCCACACAGUAGCUGGUGUGAACCUUCUUAAAAGAUUAGACUACACCCUACUAACCACACCACGCUGAAAAGUCUCCAGCUGCAAUAAUCUUCACCAGCAGGAUAUAACAUGAAAACUUCAAUAGCUUGUAUUUUUGGAGACUGGCCUGGUAGUUAGCAUCGUGC